rfam:Fomitiporia mediterranea MF3/22 unplaced genomic scaffold FOMMEscaffold_4, whole genome shotgun sequence.
GCCGGAGUAGCGCAAUGGCAGCGCGUAGCUUUCCUACUUUGAGUAAGAGGCUAAGGCUGUGGGUUCGAGUCCCACCUUCGGUU